CUGGUUGAUCCUGCCAGUAGUCAUAUGCUUGUCUUAAAGACUAAGCCAUGCAUGUCUAAGUAUAAACUUGUAUACGGUGAGACUGCGAAUGGCUCAUUAAAACAGUUAUAGUUUAUUUGCUAGAGUAUAUAUGGAUAACCGUAGUAAUUCUAGAGCUAAUACAUGCUGAUACGCUGUGCGUAGUAUUUAUUAGAGAAAUGCCAACGGGAGAGAUCCUGUGGAGGAAUCAUAAUAACUUAGCGGACUUCUUCGGAAGUGAAGCAUUCAAGUUUCUGCCCUAUCAGCUUUCGAUGGUAGUGUAUUGGACUACCAUGGCAAUGACGGGUGACGGAGAAUUAGGGUUCGAUUCCGGAGAGGGAGCCUGAGAAACGGCUACCACAUCUAAGGAAGGCAGCAGGCGCGCAAAUUACCCAAUCCUAAUUCAGGGAGGUAGUGACAAGAAAUAACAACGCGGGGCUUUUGUCUCGUGAUUGGAAUGAGAUAAGUAUUAAAUACUUUUCGAUUAUCAACUGGAGGGCAAGUCUGGUAAUCG
rnacentral:rRNA from 1 species